rnacentral:misc_RNA from 1 species
GAUGAAGAACGUAGCGAAAUGCGAUAAGUAAUGUGAAUUGCAGAAUUCAGUGAAUCAUCGACUCUUUGAACGCACAUUGCGCCCCUUGGUAUUCCGAGGGGCAUGCCUAUUCGAGCGUCAUUAUCACCCCUCAAGCCUAGCUUGGUGUUGAGGCCUGCUGUCAAGGCAGCCUCUAAAAUCAGUGGCAGUGCUGUCAGGCUCUAAGCGUAGUAAAUCUAAUCGCUAUAGACACCUGGUGGACACUCGCCAGAACCCCCCCAUUUUUUAAUGAUUGACCUCGGAUUAGGUAGGGAUACCCGCUGAACUUAAGCAUAUCAUAAGCGGAGGA